rnacentral:rRNA from 1 species
UGGGGAAUAUUGGACAAUGGGCGAAAGCCUGAUCCAGCCAUGCCGCGUGUGUGAAGAAGGUCUUCGGAUUGUAAAGCACUUUAAGUUGGGAGGAAGGGCAGUUACCUAAUACGUGAUUGUUUUGACGUUACCGACAGAAUAAGCACCGGCUAACUCUGUGCCAGCAGCCGCGGUAAUACAGAGGGUGCAAGCGUUAAUCGGAAUUACUGGGCGUAAAGCGCGCGUAGGUGGUUUGUUAAGUUGGAUGUGAAAUCCCCGGGCUCAACCUGGGAACUGCAUUCAAAACUGACUGACUAGAGUAUGGUAGAGGGUGGUGGAAUUUCCUGUGUAGCGGUGAAAUGCAUAGAUAUAGGAAGGAACACCAGUGGCGAAGGCGACCACCUGGACUAAUACUGACACUGAGGUGCGAAAGCGUGGGGAGCAAACA